rnacentral:misc_RNA from 1 species
CGCAUCUUGCGCUCUUGGGUUAUUCCUAAGAGCAUGCUUGUUUGAGUAACAGAAAAGCUCAACCCCGCUUUCUUAAUUGAGAGUAGAAGGGUUAGGAUCGUGGCAGUCUGUAAUGUUAACUCGUUACUCUGCCGAAAGACAAGCGGCCGAACUUUUGAGUUUUGCGCUGACACUAUUGUUGUAACACUUCGGUCUCAAUAGUUAGCAUUACUCUUCAAACAGUAGGCUUUGAAAACCUCUAGUGAUUUAGUCACUAUACCUUUUUUAGCUUGUUCUCAAAUCAAGUAGGACUACCCGCUGAACUUAA